GCUGGGUUUGGUGUUUGGGAUCGGUACGCGCUAUAAAAGUCCAAUUGAGAUGAAAUCUACCAAACAGUAUUCGUAUAUCCGUCGUUCUAGACCAGUGGUCGGUGAGGUCUGGUAGGAUCUAGUGAUGUUUUCUGCUGAGCCUUUAAAUGAUUCAUGCCGUUGUCGAAGUGUUUGCUUGGGCGGUGAAAACACGGCGUUACAGUAUUCAGUCCAGUGUUGCCAGUGUCACAGUGACUACGAUCCUGGCCCAAGAGACACAGCCACGCUCGCUCGUGGCAUCGUUUGUGGUGCUGUGCUGCGUACGCGUGAUCAGCGAUAAAGUGCAGGGAACGAUCGAGUGCUCGGGUGGGCAUACGAACGCAGCGUUAUGGUGACUGGUACGCGAAGCGUUAUCAGCUCGGUGGUAGACGUGGUAGUUUGAAUGAUUGCUAGUACUGGCUCACACCAGCAUCCAGGGUAGGCUUACGCCGAUGGUUCAGAUCGGGUCAGAUCGCCGGCGAGUGAUGAAAUGCCGGAGAGAGGAAGUAGCAACAAUUGAACUGUGUCCGGCUCAAGUUUGAGUCGAUUUGGAAUAUAUUUGGAGUGGUAAACGUUUUUGCGAAGAAAAAAGUGAAAAUACAGUGAGAACAAGCGAAAUUACAAGGCAUAUUUCAUGGCAUGUGUCGAUAGAGAGUGUCUGUGUGUGUGUACCAGAAGGUUUGAAGUUGGCAUAGCGAUCGUGUUGUCCUUCGUCGUGCUCUCAGCCAUAUCGAUAGCGUCAGCAUCAUCUUCGUCAUCAUCGUUCCCUUCCGUUCCAGUUGAAUGGUAAAGACAUGGUUAAUGGUUUGGUCGAUGAUGAUAAAACGAAGAUAAAUGAAAGCCGUUCCCAUUGGUUGUCCAGCGCGAUAGCAUAGAGUGAAAGUGCAAUCAUCAUUCAAACACUUGAUGAGCGCUGUACACGAGAAGGGAACCACAAGAAGUAUCGGGCAGGCAUAGUUGGGACGGCUGAUAAUAACAUCCAGAGACAGCAUACCAAUCCCUGGAGGGGCCCUACCGGCGGUAGCCGAAGUUCGAAGCCAAAGGCCAGAAAAGUGAUUGCAAGCAGCGGCAUCUCCAGCCAGCGACCGAUGUGGAUGUGAAAAUGCCCGAAACUGAUAAGAAUUCUUUACUAAGUACUAGUGCCGCAGGAGAGAUUCUAACCCCUGCUGCCCAAGUGCUUAUCGAAGAGUUCCGCUCUCUCAACUGAAGCGCAAAUUGUAUUCCUGUCGAGCAUACCCCUGCGUGCUUGUCAUCCCGUGCGUUCGUAUUGAGGUAAAACGGUGCAAAAAAAAAACCUUGUGCAAAUAAUCAGAACACUGUGAAUUUGUUUCUGCCAAACUUACCAAACGUUCCGAAUUCGUUCUCAAUGGAUCGAUCGAUUGAAGCCCGUUAGGGGUAGGGGAAUUUUGGAAUGCCUUUUUUCUAGCCAGUUUACAAUGCAAUGGUAAGUUAGCCGAGCCGUUGAAAGUUCCUAGAGGACGCCCGAGGGAAAAUGAGGUACAUACAAAAAGACAAGUUGCCCUUACAUUGUCAGAAAAGAAUUCCUGAAAAUCAAUCCAUCCGCUGGGCAUUCAAAGCAGCAAAUUGAAUGAAGCAGCGAAGUGAAGCGGCCAACGGGAUUCACAAAUUCGUACUUAAUCUCUUCCAGCAGCCAGUUUUUCUGUCGGCACGAAACGCAAACGGGCAAUAUAGCGAUCCGCUUACGCGAAGGCACGCGGGCACUGAGAGUGAACUGAUAAGCUCGUCCGACUUACGGGCAAGCCGCGUGCACCAAUGGCUCGAUGGGACGGCGUCUCAAAGAACGGAGAUGAUAAGGUUGACAAGAUUUUCUGCUAUUGAAAAUGUGUGACUUUUUCUUAUUUUAGUUUCAUACACUUAUUGCAGUGAUUUUUUGAUUUUCAGCUUAAAGGUUGAUGCUUCGCUUCCACAUUGGUGAUAACGUGUGUUGAAGGUUUUUCCGUUGCCGUAUCGAACUGUGAUUUUGGUUUUGGCGUGGAUUAUCAGUUUCUGGUUCUUGCCGUGGCUGGCUCGUGUGUGAGGUAUUACGGUUCGUUUCAGGUUCGGAGGGUUUUAUUUGCUGUUGGCUCGACCUUUUCACCGUGGAUGGAGGAUUUUCCUGUCUAUUAAAUUGUUUAGUAUCCGAUUAUCAUAAUCGCCACACUGCAUCGUUAUAGGUAAGUGUAUGGCAGAGAACAUCAGGGGUGGUCAGAUGCUUAGAAUCGGUAUUUAUUUAGUUGCACCGCCCCUCUAAAGCCGAGGUCGUUAAAGUUCGCCAAGAACAUCAAUUUGGAUAUUCUGUACGACUGUAUUGUUGCAAAAAGAGAUUCUGUAGCAAAAUUUGCUUCCAUUCCUAUACAUUUAUUGAUAUCGCUAUAACAAAAAACCACGUCCUUUUUUGGGUAUAGCUAACAUAUUUCUUUUCGCUCUAGGGAAGGUUAAAGGGAGGGCAAAAAAUACUCCACCAGCAGCUCACUAUGCUCCUCACCCCACGCACCACUUUCAAUAUUGGAGGUGCAGUGAUUGGACGUAUUUUUUGAUAGAGUCAUAUUUUGGCUUUACUUCGGUGUAACCAUUUCAUUCGUUGGGGUCCCGGGCGUAGAAAACCAUUGCAUCUCACACCAAGCCCCAUAUGUACAAGGCAAUCGCGUAUUCCAGUGACGACCUGUGUGGCACGGCUUCGUGGUCCUUGGUGUUGGAAGCAGUCGUUUUCCUCGCCGUUGACCUUAACGACACCGACAAUGGGUGUUUUUGCCGUUGCAUCGACCCGUUUUACGAUCUCCCCUUGACGUUUCAACCCCUUGUUACGUGCCAUCCUGUACCUGGGCUCUCCUGGGAAGCGCUUUACGAUCGGACCUACACCUACGCCAGGGAAGGGUGAAACGAAUUUGUAGAGCGUUGGGAGUAUGAAAAAAGCGGACGUGAAGAAAUUUAGCAGCUCAUAGUCAAUGCAAUUCACGCCCGAAAAUCUUCUGGUUCGUCGCAUCUGGUUCCUUCAUGCCAGGGUGUGGAACACUGCUGCAAGCUUGAUGCAAUGGUCAGCGUACACGCUAAUGCCUCGUAACGAGUUUACUGGAGUGCUUCUGAGCUUUGUUUUGCUAGUGCUUUUUCCUGCUUUGUUUCGUCGUUACAAUAACAAUGCUGCGAUGGGUGCAAGGACAGUACAGGAACCCAUAUUAUAAUGGAUGGUAAAUAGACGAAAGGAAAUUGUACUCAAAUUUUAUUUAAAAAAGAUGCAAUAGAUGCAUGCUAUCAGCAUAGGAAAACAGUUUUUUCUUUGUUUCAAGCUCGAAACAAAGCUUACAUUAUCUAACAAUCGAGAAUGUUUUCUUGUAUCUAGAAUCUUAUUUUUUGGUUUGUUUCCUAUUACACACACAUUCAAAAAUCACACUUUUCCGUACUGUUUGUGCAUGUUUAGUUAAAUUUUAAAAUUUGUAUAAAUUUACGCAUGAUCGCGUAUUGUAUUGUACUAUAGCGUGUGUGAUGUGGGGAGAAAGUCGUUUUGACAAUAGGUACCUCUUUUGGAGCGAAAUUUCUUAUAAGACAUAGUAAGAAAAAGGACCAGUAGGUUGCUUUAUGUGCUGUAACUUUAUUUUCGAUAAAAUUACAUUAUCUAGUACUUAAAUAAAUCAUUGAUUAAAUAAUAUAAAACGUGAGUAGUUGAAAUGUACCAUAGAAAAUAAAAAGUUCCUUUUUGUAAUACUUUGCUCUCCGUUUUCCUUUGAAUUGUAUUUGGAAUUUGACGAUUUGUGUUUAUUAAACGACAAGUAAAAUAUUAAUUCAGUGCUGUAAUUUAAUUUUAUUACUCUGAACCAAAAACUAGGAGAACAAAUAUGUUAAUUAUAAUGUAAUAGCUUCGAAUGUUUGCAUGUUAUUUUUCUCCAUACAAAUAUCAGCAAUGCUUUAUUGUAUUGUUUCCUUCAUACGCCCAUUUAUUCAGAAGGAACGGCUGCGGCUUAUAUUGCUUGUACAAUAUUUUGGAGGUAGUAAAUAAUGAAGAAAUGUUAAAUGGUUUACUAUAACACAAGGAACAAAACAUUGCAACAGUGUUACGGAUGUGAUGCGAAAUAUGUCGGAACGUUCCCUUGCAGUUCCAAUGUUCACAUUAAAUGUCGCUGAUAAUGAAGUAAUUGAAUGUAGAGCGUAAUUGAAAACAUCAACCACGUUCCAAAUGUAAUCGAUUUGAAUAUUCAUAGCCAAACGAAAAUCGGCGUUUUUGUACCAUUCAUUUGAAUAAUCCGCCACAUUCUAAACAAAAUUACACUCGCCCCAAACCCCUGGUAGUAGACCGGUUAUAACCGAUUUAUUUGUAAGUCAAAAAUUUGCAACUUAAUUUACGCUCCGGUUCGUGCAGGAGUACUUCGGAAAAAAUGAUUUCUUCCUGUUGGGGUAGCGGCAAGGAGGCGAAAUGAUUGGACACGGCUCGCAUUUUUUUUAGAGCCAGCCGCCACCACGUCAAGAAAGUUUGCAUGCUUCGCAUAAAAUCAACACCCUCCGGUUUGGCGAAAAAUGUAAUUAAAUCAUAAAUCCGUGACGGUUUAAUGUACACCUUCUCGCCUGUGCACUAAUGAACACACGUACCCUCCAUCGCCCAGACACAUCACCACCAGCGGUGGAAGAGGAACCGAACGUAAACACACUUUUUACGUUCCGAUUAUGCUACGCAUCGUGUUCGCGUGUUGGGAGCUGGGAAGAAAACGCCUUGCCCAUUAAAAGGCUGUGAGGAAAUCGUUCAGCCUUAGGUUUUGUAAGCGGCGAGCAAAUCAUGCUGCACCCCAGUCUCGCACCCCGCUCACUCACGCACGCAACUACGCUCAGCCAGUUCUUGAGGGUCGGUUACGUUCACCUAGCAUUGCUUCCGGAAAUCUUUCCGGCCGGAGCCGUGAGGUUGGCUCCGGUUGAAAACUUUGCCUUUGCCGCACGCCUAGCUACGUUUCCUCCAUAGAAGGCAAAACGCCAGUUGCUUCCUUGCGUUUGUAGCCACAUCGACGCGUAGGAGACGCUUGUGUACAUGCUGAAAAUGUCCUGCGGCGUAUGCAAACUACGGAAGUUGAUAAUUUUCUAAGCAACUUUGACUGUUAUUUAAUCACCGUAUACGAUUUUAUUAUCUCUUCACCAUUGCCCCGACACACAUACCCAUCCACAUUUCCGACUGAUCAUUACAAGGCCACAUCCGGUUCCGCAUGCCGAUCCGUGCUUUGCCAGCGGGACGCUUCGUAUCACUAGGACGAGCAGACGGAAGUACGUGCAAAUGAGCGAGCGUGAACGAUCUUUUGAAGGUGUAAGGAAGUAGUUAGAGUUCCUCGGGAAUGAAAACAUUUGAAGCUGCUUCUAGUGCUUCUGUAUUUUAAUGCAUGGAUUGAUUCAAACACCGUUGACCGUUGGCACUUCCGUGAGAUGUCCGGCUGCUUCGAUCCUCACGCAAAAGACGAAUUAAUCACAAAUGAACCUGUUUCUCCUUAUAUAUAAAAUAAUAAGCAGUCGUGCCUCACACAUGUCAGGAAAGAAUGUGAAACAUGAUGGCAGUUGCUUUGGUACUGACCCUUCUAUGGUUUAUGAUUGGUCAGUACGGAUGACUACUAAUCACGACAUCGAUAUCCGAGCUACAGUAGCGACGGUACGGACCCGCAACAGGAGGUAAAUCAACGAGUGAAGUAAAUAUUGUAUUUUUUCCUUCUGCACAGCUAGCCCAUAAUCUACCAACAAUCUCCUUGAAAAGCAUGGCAGUGGUUUGAGACAGCAACAAAUUAGCAUAAAUAAUUGUAGCCUAUGCUUAGCUUCGUGACCAAUACUUCCUUAGUAAGAGCAUUGUGCAUAGGUGAACUACAAACUGCCCAUUCAUUUGAUGGAUUGUGAGUUUAUGUAAAUCCAAACAUUUGUGAUUAUUACACUACGAAGCUGGAUUUUUUAAAGCCGCUUAUUACUCGCAUGCUAGUAUGCCAAUGCAGCUUUAAAGCUAUGCUGAUGCAUCACGCUGUGCAAUUACUGCAUUGUACACUUUAUUGGUGCAUUUGAUUUGCCUUUUUAAAAAGAAUAUUUUUAUGUUUUAGGUACUGUGGUAAUUUCAUUUACGAAUUGUCGAGCAACAGCAAUUGAGAUUAAUAACAUGGUUUAUUUUAAAAAUGUGCAAAGGCUGCCUAAACAACUCUCUGCUAAUGAAACGGGAACAAACCUAUGGAAUUCUUAUUUGAACAGUUUCCGGUCUUCUGAACUCGUUAAAUAAUGCAUGGUUUGAUACCUAACUUUCCAUGCAAUGUGUUAGCAUGUAUAACAAAGCGUUUGUUUAUUUUUGCUUGCAUUUUUUAUAGUUUUGUUGUUGUUGUAGUUGACCUUUCAUAAAAAAGCUGGUAGUCAGAAAAUGCCGGUACCCCAUUCUUCAGUGGUGAAAUUGAAAGAGGAAUUUAAUUAGUGCCCGAACCCCGCAGUGGCUCGUUUGAUGUUGCGCAAAUUGUGUCAUCAUGGUUCAAGGUUGUACCACCGUACGAAACAAAAGAGCAGCAGUAGCGGAGGCAAAAAUUUGGCGAAAGUACCUUUCACCUUCUUUAGACACUAAUUACGGCUUGCACGCACGGUUCCAUUGUCUAAUGGCUGGAAUCAAUUGAAAGUUUUGCAGGGUUAAGGUGGAAGCUUCAUACCAGUGAAGGGAAACGAACGCACAUACGGAAGAUAAAAUGAGAGGAAAGUUUGAGCGAGAUGAAAGAGUACCACAGCAGAUAAACUAAUUGCUUUUUUGAAGAGGUCCAUACCAUGCUGAAGGUAUCCUUGUUGGUAGACAAGUAUAUACACUUCUACAAAGGAAAAUAUUUGUUAAUUUCUCUGCUACGUAAAUAUGGCAAUACAAAAACCAUUUCCUCCGUGCCGGCAUUUUUGUCUACUUUUUACCAAAUCAAUCUUUCUAUAGGUCCAAAGAUUUUGCUCCAGGUGGCUCCACGGGUGGAUUCCAUUGUUUUCUUAGUUUGACAGACCAGACAAUACUUCCUCUGGGUAAAUGUGUGAGCGUUAUAAUGAAGGUCGGAGUGUGUUGUGUGGUUGUCGUUAUCCGACUUUCAUUGAAUUGUGUAUCGAUGCUACCGUACUGCGCUCCUUUCGUAGGCAUCUUUCUGACAUUAGCACAAUAGAUCAAACGAAAAAUGCAGUGAAUGUAGUGGAUGAAUGCAACCUGAAUGCCUCUGGUACAAUUGCUUGGCCUGACUGCUCUCAGUAUCACCUUUAAGUGACAUUCAUUGGUACGCGUUUGCACAGGACAGCCCAUGAGUGGACAAUAAAGACAGCUGGUGGAACUGCAGUACCGUCAGCAGUAUCCGGAGGCUGCACAAGUCUGGUGGGAUGUAUUAAGCAAUAGUUGAGGUUAGCAGGCGGUGCGUCCAAUAUUCUACAAUGGUCUGUACGACGUUGCCCUUGAUGAACGGAGAAAUACUGGCUGGAACGAGAUUUCAUUGCCAGACAAACCUGCACUUCCUUCCAGCGGAGCUAAACGGUAUAGUCUUUCUGUGCAAUAUAUCAUGCUAGUUAAUUUAAUUCACUUCGCAAAGUGUGAACCCUCGAUGAUUCCCCCGGUUGGCUGCAGACAGAGACACUUUUCUGUGUUGUUUGUCUUUUAUUGGAGGGUUUUACUUGAAGGGUUACGGUGUAGUUUAUAGCUAAAAGUACAUUAAACAGCAAUUUGGCUUGUGCUAGCAGCGUUAGGUAGGUGCUGUCACGAUUCUGUAAUGAAAAAGUGGUGUGUCAGCAAAAGAGAUUGUUCUAAAUGCUUGAUUUGCAAUCAGUUGAUGUUUAUAAUGGGCUAUGAGGGGCGACGUUGGGUUUUGUUUUGUAUAAAAUAAAACGUAAACAAUCAGAGCAAUGUUGACGAUGUCAUUUUACAUCACUCGAACUCGCACUUACCCGAUCUUCUUUUGAUUGUUCUCAUACUGUGCUUGUAUCUUACCCGCAUACGAGUGGUUAAAAUUUUGUAGUCUUCAUUUGGGUGAUGUCACAGUCAAUUGAGUGCCAGGGUGAGUCGGGUCAGCAGAAGUCAACCGACUAAGUGAAUUUAACAUUUAAUUCGAUUCGACUGUGAAGAAACAGAAGGAAUGAUUGAAUGGCGGUUGUGGUUGUGUCGGGCACCGUUGCGAACGUUGUCUAGCCUAUUCUGAACUAAUCAAACUGAUCAGCUCGAACGGAGGAAUAAUCAUGAGAAAGUGUCACACAAGCAAAUAAGAUGGAUGCCUUUCAACGCCCAACUGAAAGCACGAACAAGGGCCGAGCAACGAUCAAUCCGUUUCAAUUGUGUCCAUAGUGACUGUCAUUGAGGAUUCGCUUUCCAGUACGCUUUUAAUGUUAUCUACACUACCGAAUCUAUACAUUUAUGAGAAGAAUGUUGAAAAACAUAAUAUUCACUAAUUGUUGUUGAAAGAAAGUGUUCACAUCAAUAGUAGUUCAAAUUCAAGAGAAGAUUAUUAAAACGAAUGAUUAAGAUACUUGCCAAUCCUGACCUAUGUAACAGAAUUGAUUGUUGGAGUAUAACUUCUUUCUUCGUUUCGUUUCGUUAUCGUUUCUAAUAUGAAUUAGGUAUAUUUAGCACAGCACAUUACUAGUAACUUUUAAAAUAUGUUUCAAAUCAUUCAAUUUGUUUGCACGCAUACUUCAUUGUUAAAAAAACAACUUAAGCUAUAGCAUUGCAUAAAUUUCGGUAUGAAUACGCUUAAUGAAAUACUUACGAAUAACAACGGUCGUACAUUAAUCAAUUGAGCUACUCCUUCAUGCUUUAAACAUGAUUAUAUAUUGUUCUUACAAGUUCAAUUACAAAUGCAAAUAAGCCCUGCCGGAUCAUUCUUUAUAAAUAAUAACAUUUUUUUAUGGCAUACGACCAUACGAAAUUCAUAUUCUGAGCAAAGUUAAUACAUUAAAAGAUCUAUUUUUAAAGCAUUUAUGCAUUUGAAUUCGGUUUGUCAAGUGCUUACUGAGAAAAUAAUGGUACCUCAAAAAAUAAUUUAAAAUGAUCUGAAGUUGUGAAACUUCAAUGGAAGUUUUGUUUUCCCGAGUGGUCAAAAGUGUAUUGCUCCAUGGUAAUUGGUUAUUUUAAAAUUAUUUUCCCAUUUUACUUUUGUGAGCAAUUCGAGUGGUUUUGGUGUGUUUGUUUUGCACAAUCAACUUGAAAGACAGUUCAAGAUGGAAAAGUUGCCCAAUCUGUUUCCAGCUGGCAACAGGUCGUACUAUGGUGAAUGUACUGUGAUAAGCACGAAAUGCUUAGGAUUCGAUGCGAGGACUCUUCCAAAAUCGGCAGUUUGACGUUGCGUUGUGGCCGUAGGCAAUGAAACACACUUCUCCUCUCUUCUCCUCAUCCUUAUCCGCCGUUGUGAAGACUAAUCCUGGUCGGUAUGACGAUGGUACGACCUUAGACAGAGCUAUCAUCGCCUCUGACUGUGAGCUGUGCUGGGUAUUGAGUUAAGGAGAUUCCUCUCGAGUCGAGUAAGUGAAGCUACCCCGAGGCGUACAAACGAUCCACUUGUAUCGUCCGAUGAAAUUAAGCGUCAUCUCAGGUCAUGCCUGUUGGCAACAGCUAUUAGAGGCUUUUCGAAGGAUCGCACGGUGCAUGACGGACAUGGAGAGGGAAGCAAUUGGAACCCCAGUCCGCUCAAUCUUCGCGGUGACUGAUGUUGAUUUCGAUUAAGGGAACGGCAAUCUUUAGCUAAAUGGAUUAGUUCAAAAUUAAUUGCUCGUUAUUUCGAACAAACUCGACGCGCUUCAGCGAUCUGCUGAAUCCGGGUGUCGGCAGCAGUUUUCCUUCGAUACGAGUUGUUGAUCAUUUUCUAGAAAGCUGCAAAAUGUGUUCUUCGCGAUGCAAUAGUUCGGCAUCAUGUGUGACGGUUUAAUACAUCCUGAAUACUUUAUUCAUGAUUCAUAUUUUUUCAAAUAACUUUUCAUACAAUAUAGGUGUUGCAUUUCAUUAUAUAUUAUUAUUAAGCAUAAAGAGAUGACAUUUGCGCGAUGGAAACAUGUCUUAUUAUCAAAAAUGUGUAAACUAAAAAGUCUAGUGAAACCGGGGUGUUCCGUACUAUUGAUCGAUUCGUAUCUCCUAUUCAGCUCCGACAUUCCAAUCAAUUUCCAAAGUGUGGAAAAGUGUCUCUAGUUUUCUUUUUUGUAUGUUUCAACAAAACAGCUAUCAACAAUAAUAAGAAUAAUAAUAAUCCUACAAAUAAUAUUAAUAAUAAAAAUAGUAAAAAUCAUAAAACUCAUAAAGGACUGCCCCCUGUGGUACAGUUGUCAGCUCGUGUGACUCAAUAAAAUGUCCGCCAUGGGCUAAAGCCUAGAAUGAACAGCCCCCUUCCCCCAAAGGAAUGACUAUCCGGCUGCGUGGUACUGAAUAAGUCUCGAUAGUCUGUAUGUCGAAGGCCACAUGUCUGCGUAGGAAGUUACGCCAAGCAGAAUUAUAAUAAUAAUGCAAAUAUUGAUAAUUAUCAAAAUAACAAAAGAGGUGAAAAAUAACAUCAGUUACAAUAAAUAUAAAAAACUAAC